CUUCUCUAUAUUUCCAUUGAUGUUGGGACAGCAUCUCACUAUGUAGUCCAAGUUGGACUCAAUUUCACAACAAUCCUCCUGCCUCAUCCUCCCAAGUGUAGGGUUUGCAGCCAUGAGCACCAUGUCAUCCAGCUUUCAGAUAUCUUUACCAAGGAUCCUUCAUGUUACAGACCACUGCCUACUGAUAGCAGGAAGCACCCACAUGGCUCAGAAAGCAAAGGUGCAUUCUUUUGUACUUCAGGUUUCUGUGAAGGAAUGACUUUGAUUUGACUGUUCUUUUUUCAGGGUUGGCUUAACCAAAAUACAGGUAAUUCAAUUCAUAAACUCACUUAACUACUCAUACACUAAGUGAAACCCUUGUGAUAUUCUGACAUCAAAUAAAUCAAGAGAGGUACUGCCAUAACUUUUUCACUCCCAGAAAGGCUUUCAUUUGAAGACAUUUCUGGAUUGAAUAUUUGAGGUGCCAAGAAUUCAUAUUCUAUCAUCAGAAUAUUCUGUUGGGGGGUUAGAAGGAAAGAGGGCUUUUGGGAGCAUUUAGGUAAUGAGGGUAGAACAUUUAUUAAGAUUAAAACCUCUACAAAUCUCUAGAGAGCCUCUUCCUCCUGUGUUAAUUAUUAACACAGCAAGAAAAUGGCCUUGGCAGAUGAUGAAUCUCCAUUGCCAUAAUCCUGGACUUCCCAACUUCUAGAACAAUGAGCAAUAAAAAGUUAUGAGAGCUGCCCAGCUCAUGGUGCUUUGAUAGAGCAGUGUAAGUGAACUACUACAUAUAUAUCUGCUUUACCUACUUAAAAGGGUGUGGAAUAUGCUUUGUAAUCACUCUUGUACCCUUCAAAUGUCUUCCAACUCAAUAACUUUGUUUCAGCAAUCUGUGACCCCUUUUGCCUGUUUUGUUUGCUUCUCUCCACACCAGGCACAUCCCUCAACACACAGCCUCACUCCUACUUUCAAACAGGAGUCAAGACAAAGGGAUUUCCUAGCACCUGAGUCCACUUGUAGGGUAUAUUGGAAGACUCAGAUGGAAAAUAAGAUUUGCAUUCUGCGACAAGACCAUCUGCUAACCUGGAAAGUGUGCCUUGGAUCUCAGAGAAAGACCUAUCUGAUUGCUUUCAGUCUCUUUGUUGUAACAGCCAACAUUUCCUAAGCUAAUACAGUUUAAUUUAGGAGUCUG
rnacentral:lncRNA from 1 species